rnacentral:tRNA from 1 species
CCGUUCUUAGUUUAUAUUUUUGAAUAAUAGUUUGUCGUACUAUAGGAGGUGUUAAAGCCAGAUCGGG